GAUGAACGCUGGCGGCGUGCCUAAUACAUGCAAGUCGAGCGGACGGACGAUAAGCUUGCUUCUCUGAUGUUAGCGGCGGACGGGUGAGUAACACGUGUAUAACCUACCUAUAAGACUGGGAUAACUUCGGGACACCGGAGCUAAUACCGGAUAAUCUUUUGAACCGCAUGGUUCAAAAGUGAAAGUCGGUCUUGCUGUCACUUAUAGAUGGAUCCGCGCUGCAUUAGCUAGUUGGUAAGGUAACGGCUUACCAAGGCAACGAUGCGUAGCCGACCUGAGGGGGUGAUAGGCCACACUGGAACGUGGCCACGGACCAGACUCCUACGAGAGGCAGCAGUAGGGAAUCUUACGCAGAGGGCGAAAGCCUGACGGAGCAACGCCGCGUGAGUGAUGACGGUCUUCGGAUCGUAAAGCUCUGUUAUUAGGGAAGAACAUAUGUGUACGUAACUGUGCACAUCUUGACGGUACCUAAUCAGAAAGCCACGGCUAACUACGUG
rnacentral:rRNA from 1 species